rnacentral:rRNA from 1 species
CCUACGGGAGGCUGCAGUGAGGAAUAUUGGUCAAUGGGCUUACGCCUGAACCAGCCUAGUCGCGUGAGGGAAGACUGCCCUAUGGGUUGUAAACCUCUUUUGUCAGGGAGCAAUUGGCGCUACGUGUAGCGUUAUCGAGAGUACCUGAAGAAAAAGCAUGGGCUAACUCGGUGCCAGCAGCCGCGGUAAUACGGAGGAUGCGAGCGUUAUCCGGAUUUAUUGGGUUUAAAGGGUGCGUAGGCGGAAUGCCAAGUCAGCGGGAAAAUCGCGGGGCUCAACCUCGUUCCGCCGUUGAAACUGGCGUUCUUGAGUGGGCGAGAAGUAGGCGGAAUGCGUGGUGUAGCGGUGAAAUGCAUAGAUAUCACGCAGAACUCCGAUUGCGAAGGCAGCAUACCGGCGCCCAACUGACGCUGAAGCACGAAAGUGUGGGUAUCGAACAGGAUUAGAUACCCUAGUAGUC